rnacentral:rRNA from 1 species
AGAGUUUGAUCAUGGCUCAGGAUAAACGCUGGCGGCGUGCAUGAGACAUGCAAGUCGAACGGACGAUCGGGGCUUGCUUCGAUCGUUAGUGGCGGACGGCUGAGUAACGCGUAGGUGACCUGCCCCGAAGUGGGGAAUAACUGCCCGAAAGGGUGGCUAAUACCGCAUGUGGUGGUGUGUUCGAUCACACCAGUAAAGCCGCAAGGCGCUUCGGGAGGGGCCUGCGUCCGAUUAGCUCGUUGGUGGGGUAACGGCUCACCAAGGCGACGAUCGGUAGGUGGUCUGAGAGGACGAUCACCCAGACUGGGACUGAGACACGGCCCAGACUCCUACGGGAGGCAGCAGUCGGGAAUUUUGCGCAAUGGACGAAAGUCUGACGCAGCAACGCCGCGUGAGGGAUGAAGGCCUUCGGGUUGUAAACCUCUUUUAUCAGGGACGAUAAUGACGGUACCUGAUGAAUAAGUCACGGCUAACUACGUGCCAGCAGCCGCGGUAAUACGUAGGUGACAAGCGUUGUCCGGAUUUACUGGGCGUAAAGAGCGCGCAGGCGGUCGUUCAAGUCGAGUGUGAAAGCCCCCCGGCUCAACUGGGGAGGGUCAUUCGAUACUGAUCGACUCGAAGGCAGGAGAGGGUAGUGGAAUUCCCGGUGUAGUGGUGAAAUGCGUAGAUAUCGGGAGGAACACCAGUGGCGAAGGCGACUACCUGGCCUGUUCUUGACGCUGAGGCGCGAAAGCUAGGGGAGCAAACGGGAUUAGAUACCCCAGUAGUCC